rfam:Flavobacterium fryxellicola strain DSM 16209 FBFR10, whole genome shotgun sequence.
UGUGAGCGUGAGGGAUUGCAGUGAAAAUCCUUUUAUUUUUUCUUUAAAAAUAAAAGAUUGAAGCGGAAAGCCCGACCCUUG